CCGCCGCGGCGGAGCCGGUCGCGGCUCUGGAGCAUGCGGCGGAGCGGAGCGCCUUGAGAGAAGGGGAGGAGGUGGACAGGAAGCCCAGGGACGCAGCUGGAGCUGUGGGAGGAGGAUUGAGAGCUCUGGUGGAGGCGGAGGCGGUGGAGAAGGAGGUGGGAGCGGCCGCCGCCAUGGUUGGUGGCUUUUCGAGUGCGUGAAGGGAGUGAGAGAGGAAAAAUGUGCGCUACAGAGCUCAGAUGAGAGAGAUAGGGUUUAGG
rnacentral:lncRNA from 1 species